rnacentral:lncRNA from 1 species
CAGUGUACUAUAAUAACCCAAAAGCCCAAAAUUUUCUAGAAACUGUAGAUAGCCCCGAAUUUGUCCUUAGGGUCAGCAGUUCACAAUUUUUUUCGGUUUCUAACAUGUUUAUUUCGCGACCUUACGAUUUUCAUAUCUCACUCAAUAUAGCUUUGAUCUGAAUGAAAUUUGGACAUGUUAUACCUCAUGCUACAUACUAUUUUAAAAAAUUAUUACAUGCAACAAAUGGAUUAUCUAAGACAUGAUUUCGAUUGACCAAAAAUCCUGAAAAAUCAUGCAAACUAGUUUAACCCAACUUUUGAGAAAAUCAUGAUUUUGAUUCUAGCAUGCAUGGGUUUGAUUCCUAUUAUCCAGACC